AUUGAACGCUGGCGGAAUGCUUUACACAUGCAAGUCGAACGGCAGCACGGACUUCGGUCUGGUGGCGAGUGGCGAACGGGUGAGUAAUGUAUCGGAACGUGCCCAGUCGUGGGGGAUAACGUAGUGAAAAUUACGCUAAUACCGCAUACGAUCUAUGGAUGAAAGCGGGGGAUCGCAAGACCUCGCGCGAUUGGAGCGGCCGAUAUCAGAUUAGGUAGUUGGUGGGGUAAAGGCCCACCAAGCCAACGAUCUGUAGCUGGUCUGAGAGGACGACCAGACACACUGGAACUGAGACACGGUCCAGACUCCUACGGGAGGCAGCAGUGGGGAAUUUUGGACAAUGGGCGAAAGCCUGAUCCAGCUAUUCCGCGUGCAGGAUGAAGGCCCUCGGGUUGUAAACUGCUUUUGUACAGAACGAAAAGGUUUCUACUAAUACUAGGAGCUCAUGACGGUACUGUAAGAAUAAGCACCGGCUAACUACGUGCCAGCAGCCGCAGUAA
rnacentral:rRNA from 1 species